AGGAACUUGAAAGUAAUGAUUAACAUGGGCUUGUCUGCAAAGCAAGAGAAAGAUGAUAGGUUCCAACAAAUAAAGAGAGAAGUUGCUGAGAUGAUAAAGAUAUGUGUCCCUUCAGAGUCCAAGGUGUCUUGGUUGAAUCUUUCCCCUCUCUCAUAUUGGGAUGAUAAAGAAGUUGCUCUUUCUUUCUCUCAUAGUGGCAUUGACUUUGAAAAGAGUUGUUUAGGAAAUUUAGGUUGUGAAGAGGGAGUGAAAAAAGUCUUUGUGUCUGCGCCAUAACAUAGUUAAGUUCAAAUUCUAUAUGUUUCCAUGAAGAGAAUAAAGCAUUUAGAAUUGGUGAACCAGUUGAAUCAUGAAAAUAUUGGGUAGGAGUGGAAGACAUUGGCUUGUACCAUCAAUGUGACCAUGAAAACCAUAAAAAUGAUGGAUAUUAGAAAACAAGGUUUUCCAUAACAAAGAAUUACCGAAAUCAAGAAUGGUAAGACAUGAUCCUGAAUGUUGUUGGCUUGAAAAAUAGUAGAGACAGAGGGCAAAGAAAGAAUUGAGGAAGAGGAUGGCAGGGAACUCGAAGAAGAGGAAGAAGACAUGGAAGAAAGAAAGGAGGAUGAGAAGGCCAGCUGAGUUGAAGAAAAAUGGCAGGUUCGGUGAGAGGGGGAUGAGGUGGUGGAAGAGGAGUUAAAGUUGAUGAGGAAGGAGGAGUUGCCAUUGUUAAGGGAUACCUAGGGUUGUGAUACCAUGUGAAGAGGGAGUGAAAAAAGUGUCCCUCACUUAGGGUUGACCCCUAUUUGUAUUUCAAUAUGAAAGGAGUAUACACGUGGUACAAAUUACAAAUAUAUAAAAACUCUAUAUAAAAUAGUAUUGGAACCUAGCUAUGUUAUUGUAGGUAACAUGGAUGAAAAUUAACUAGAAAUCAAUGAUUGAUAAACUUUAACUCCCCCUCCUCUCCUUUUUUUUCAUUUUUGUCAUUCUUUUUCUCUGUAAUGCUCCAAUUGGAAUGGGCUUCAUUAGAGAAACCUUUUUAUUCUGAUGACUUGUGUGAGCUACCCGAAUCUCUGUCUUUACUCUGAUGAUUUCAGUGAGGUACCUGAUUUGUUAAGCUAACAGCCUUUUGGUCUCUGUCUUGAUCUGCAUUUUCUAUUUGUUCUGUAGCAAACAGUAUUUGGUACUUUAUGAAAUAUCUUAAAUGUUGAAUGGUGAUUCUUCAUCCCAUGCUGAUGCAUUUAUUGCUUUUGAAAACUUAAUAUAAAGAAUAAAAAUUGAAUUGAUUGUUAUUGGUAUCUUGAUAAUGUCUGAAUUACGACUUUUC
rnacentral:misc_RNA from 1 species